CCUGGAGGACCACACAACAUAGAGAUUGGCGGAACAGCGGCGCAGAGCGGCUGGAACAAAGAGGUGCCGCUUCCGCGUUUUUCCCGCACAUGCGCAGUACGCUCGGGAGGACCUACUACCAUAGAGACAGGCGGCACAGAGCGGAGGCAGCAGAGCGACGCGCUGCACAGCUCCGGGUGGUGCUGUGCGGGACAAUGUGGACCCCAGGAGGCGUCCAGAAUGCCCGGAGUGCUCCCGGAGCUCCUCGGCCCUCCACUUCCCCAUAAAUCCUCCGCCACCGCCGUCCACGCCCCGCACUACAGCCAUUGCACCACUGCGCGUGCGCCGAGCAGCGCCUGCAGUACCAGGUCCGAACGGGGGCCACCUGUUACCAUAGAGAUUGGCAGAGUGACAGCACAGAGCGGUCAGAGCGAAGAGUCGCCACUUCCGGGAUUCCAAACGCAUGCGUGUUAGUGCCUGGAGGACCUUUGACCAUAGAGACGGGAGGCGCAGAGCGGAGCCGGUAGAACGCUGCCGCUGCAGUUCCGCGCUUUGGCCACGCGGGGGCGGCAGAGACCGAGAGCGGCCGCGGCUGCGCGCGGGGCGCCCCGUGCUCUUUUUUUCCUUCCGAUUUCGGGUGAAGAACGCAACGUUGGAAGAGGAAAAAAAAGCAAAAAAGAAGAAAAGAAAGGAAAAAUUCUCCAGGCUCCGGAAGGCUGCGUUCAUCGUUCGCGAAUUUCGGUGUUAAAAAAAAAAAAAAAAAAAAAAGAUGGAAUCAGCGCUCAGCUCCUGCGCCGCCAACCGCUGGCUGCUUAAGGACGCUGCGGGUGCUGAACUUGGUUUUGGGGCUGAAACCGAGAUCUUCUCUUUUUUUUAUUGCUUUCUCCCUCCCAGGAGGACGGGGAGAAGCCAGAACUGAUAUCCCAGGAGGAAGGUGCUGGCUUCCCAAAGCCCCGCUCCCGCUUUGAGGCCAACGUGCAAAGCAGCAGAGCUGGGAAGGUGCGAGGACAUCCCGGCCCCGAGUUCAGGGCACCCUUAGCAAAGCGUUGUGACCGUUCCGGAGGAGGAGCUCGGCUUGGGCAUCCUUGUUGGGGCUGCACCGUUGCAGCUCCUGCUGGGCCAGCGUGGGUUUCGUGCGCUGAGCGAUGCUGCACGCCGUUCCCUUCCGACGGCGGCAGCUUCCUCGUGGGAGAGGGAGGAGUAAAAAAUAAAAUAUAUAUAUAUAUAUAUAUAUACACACACACACAAAAGCACUAAACCGAAGCGGGGAGAAAAAUCAAGAGUGUUUGCUGACUGUCUGCUGCGCCUCGGCGGUGUUUGUUGUGUUUUUGCCAUUGCUUUGGCAACACCCUGGGGGGGGGGGCAAGGCACACCAGGCUGCAGCGCUGCGGGGAGCAGGGCUCUGCUGAGCGAGGCUGCCCUGGCUGGGAUGUGCAUGGGGCUGCCCUGGCACCCAGCUCGGCUGCUGCCCUGCUGAGAGUAGAGCGGUGCUUGCUCGCUCCCUCUUUGGGCUGCGCUUUCCUCUUCCAAGCCAGGAAGAGGGGGGCUGGUGGGUCUGGCUGGUUCUCGUUGGGUGUAGGGAAGGCAGCGAGCGUGGCUGUUCCCCACGGCGGUCGGGGGUCGUGUGGGUGUGCGGGCUCAUCCCCUCCUUUCUGUUCUCGUGGGUGGAGGGUGCAGCUCGCCGGGAGUGAGCUGACGUGGGAAGCGCCGUGGGCGCCCUGGGAGGCGUCGCUCAUAAAUGGGUGCCCCGAGGCACGGCGUGAUGCAGCCCCCACCUCCAGCAGCUCCCGCUUUGCAGGGAGGGGUGGUCCCUGCCCGCGCUGUGGCUGGGGCAGACGCGGGGGGCAGGGGGGUGGUGACGUCCCCAUCCGCCUCCAGAGCGGUGCCAGGAGCCCUGCAGCGUCCCCCUGGGUACAGAAUUCGGGGGUGGGUGAAGGCUUUGCCCUUUGGAGGCCGGGAAAGGCUCCGGA